rnacentral:rRNA from 1 species
GACAGAGGGUGCGACCGUUGUUCGGAAUUACUGGGCGUAAAGCGCGUGUAGGCGGCAACGCAAGUCGGGCGUGAAAUCCCACGGCUCAACCGUGGAAGUGCAUUCGAAACUGCAAGGCUAGAGUCCUGGAGAGGAAGGUGGAAUGCUUGGUGUAGAGGUGAAAUUCGUAGAUAUCAAGCGGAACACCGGUGGCGAAGGCGGCCUUCUGGACAGUGACUGACGCUGAGACGCGAAAGCGUGGGGAGCAAACAGG